ensembl:snRNA U6 U6 spliceosomal RNA
GUGCUCGCUUCGGCAGCACGUAUACUAAAAUUGGAAUGAUACAGAGAAGGUUAGCAUGAGGGUGUGAGGAUGAUGUGCAAAUUCGUGAAGCGUUCCAUGUUUUU